rnacentral:rRNA from 1 species
AUUGAACGCUGGCGGCAGGCCUAACACAUGCAAGUCGAGCGGGGGAAGGUAGCUUGCUACUGGACCUAGCGGCGGACGGGUGAGUAAUGCUUAGGAAUCUGCCUAUUAGUGGGGGACAACAUCUCGAAAGGGAUGCUAACACCGCAUACGUCCUACGGGAGAAAGCAGGGGAUCUUCGGACCUUGCGCUAAUAGAUGAGCCUAAGUCGGAUUAGCUAGUUGGUGGGGUAAAGGCCUACCAAGGCGACGAUCUGUAGCGGGUCUGAGAGGAUGAUCCGCCACACUGGGACUGAGACACGGCCCAGACUCCUACGGGAGGCAGCAGUGGGGAAUAUUGGACAAUGGGGGGAACCCUGAUCCAGCCAUGCCGCGUGUGUGAAGAAGGCCUUAUGGUUGUAAAGCACUUUAAGCGAGGAGGA